GUUUAUUGCAUUGCCUUCAAAAGACUCACUAGGGAUCGUGCGCUUUGUUUGAUUUUCACUGCAGAUGUCAAUGAAUGUGCGCAGAGUCCAGGCUCCUGCCAUGGCUCUGCAACUUGCCACAACACAGUUGGAGGGUUCCAUUGUUCAUGCCCUUUUGUCACCAGUUUUGCUAAGGAAACAAACUCAUGCGCCAAUCGGUUUAUAAGUCAGGAGUUGAGCAGGGCACAAUCUGUGGCACGACCGCAUUCUCCUACUCAUUUGUCUCAAAGCAAAAGAAGCUCGCUGCCUUUGCCUGGAGAGAGCAGAAGUUUCUUUUAUCUAAUCCAAGAUGAUCUAUUCAUGAUUAAAACAGCGAGGAAAUCAGAAGUCGAGGUAAUUUUCUUAUUGAUGCCACUGUGA
rnacentral:rRNA from 1 species